CCUACGGGGGGCAGCAGUGGGGAAUAUUGCACAAUGGGGGAAACCCUGAUGCAGCAACGCCGCGUGAGUGAGGAAGUAUUUCGGUAUGUAAAGUUCUAUCAGCAGGGAAUAGAAAAGAAGGUUCCCGAAAAAGAAGCCCCGGCCAAACACCUGCCAGCAGCCGCGGUAAUACGUAGGGGGCAAGCGUUAGCCGGAUUUACUGGGUGUAAAGGGAGCGUAGACGGGUGGGCAAGUCAGAAGUGAAAGCCCGAGGCUCAACCAUGGGACUGCAUUUGAAACUGUCGAACUUGAGUACGGGAGAGGUAGAAGGAAUUCCUAGUGUAGCGGUGAAAUGCGUAGAUAUUAGGAGGAACACCAGUGGCGAAGGCGGCUUACUGGACCGAAACUGACGUUGAGGCGCGAAAGCGUGGGGAGCAAACAGGAUUAGAUACCCUGGUAGUC
rnacentral:rRNA from 1 species